rnacentral:rRNA from 1 species
UACGGAGGGUGCAAGCGUUAUCCGGAUUCACUGGGUUUAAAGGGUGCGUAGGUGGGCAGGUAAGUCAGUGGUGAAAUCUCCGGGCUUAACCCGGAAACUGCCAUUGAUACUAUCUGUCUUGAAUACCGUGGAGGUGAGCGGAAUAUGUCAUGUAGCGGUGAAAUGCUUAGAUAUGACAUAGAACACCAAUUGCGAAGGCAGCUUACUACACAAAUAUUGACGCUGAGGCACGAAAGCGUGGGGAUCAAACAGG